CCCAACUCUAAAUCUCUCUCAACUCUCAAGUCUCUAUGCAUAAUAUAAACCUCAAUAAAUAAGUAAUUUUUCUCAUUUCUGUGAUUUUCGGUCUUUACAGUCGAUUUUGCUCUUGGAAGACUCUAUCUUUGUCUUCACUCUCUUCAACCUCUCUUUUUGAGAACAACCAUCUUGGACUCAGAAGGUACUCUCUCUCUCAUCUUCUUCUUCAUCUCUCUCUCCAUCUAUCGUAGCUUCUCUGAAUCUCUCCUCCCAGACAGCGUGAAAAAGGAAAAAUCACAGAAUCAAGACGGAAGGAUAGAGGUUCUUUUGGGAAUUUCAUACUGAUUUGCCCCUUGCCUUUAAUUGGGAGAAGUGUACAGACCUAUCGGUUUUCUCUGGGCCUUGAACUUGUUGAGGAGCUCUCGAUCUCCCACUCUACCUUUGAUGUUGAUUUGUUUCUUGGUAUUGCAGAACCAUGGAAUAGAAAGUCAAUCUCCAGACAACAGGCCAGAUACUGCUGUCAGUCUGUGUUCAAGUCAUUAUCUUUAUAUGCGACUUGAAGAGGCCUUCUGGAGCAUCUUUGCUAAUACUAGCAAAUAAGCAAGACCUAAAAGGUGCUCUUACACCAGAUGAAAUUGCUAAGGUACUAAACCUGGAGAAUAUGGACAAAACCAGGCAUUGAAAAAUCGUAGGCUGUAGCGCAUACACAGGGGAGGGGCUGCUUGAGGGAUUUGAUUGGUUGGUUCAGGACAUGAUGAUACCUUAGGAUUUAGUCAACAUUAAGCAAUAGAGUUAGGGUUUUUUUUAUUGGCCCUCUUAGAGAACUGAUUAAGGUCCAUUUGUACUGUUUUAUUAACUAUCAUAUUGUUGUGGAAUUUAGUCAAGCUGUGAAUUUGACCAAAAAAAAAAGGUCAAGCUGUGAAACUUUUUGGGUCAAUAGUAUUAUUGAAACUUUCAAUGGGAAGUUUGGGUCAA